rnacentral:rRNA from 1 species
GAUGAACGCUGGCGGCGUGCCUAAUACAUGCAAGUCGAGCGAACAGACGAGGAGCUUGCUCCUCUGCCGUUAGCGGCGGACGGGUGAGUAACACGUGGAUAACCUACCUCUAAGACUGGGAUAACUUCGGGAAACCGGCGCUAAUACCGGAUAAUAUAUUGAACCGCAUGGUUCAAUAGUGAAGGACGGUUUUGCUGUCACUUAUAGAUGGAUCCGCGCCGCAUUAGCUAGUUGGUAAGGUAACGGCUUACCAAGGCGACGAUGCGUAGCCGACCUGAGAGGGUGAUCGGCCACACUGGAACUGAGACACGGUCCAGACUCCUACGGGAGGCAGCAGUAGGGAAUCUUCCGCAAUGGGCGAAAGCCUGACGGAGCAACGCCGCGUGAGUGAUGAAGGUCUUCGGAUCGUAAAACUCUGUUAUUAGGGAAGAACAAAUGUGUAAGUAACUAUGCACGUCUUGACGGUACCUAAUCAGAAAGCCACGGCUAACUACGUG